CCUACGGGUGGCAGCAGUGGGGAAUUUUGCGCAAUGGGGGCAACCCUGACGCAGCAACGCCGCGUGAGUGAUGAAGGCCUUCGGGUCGUAAAGCUCUGUCAGAGGGGAAGAAAUGCAGGUGGUGAACAACCAUUCUGUUUGACGGUACCCUCAAAGGAAGCACCGGCUAACUCCGUGCCAGCAGCCGCGGUAAUACGGAGGGUGCGAGCGUUGUUCGGAAUUAUUGGGCGUAAAGCGCGUGUAGGCGGUUUGUUAAGUCGGAUGUGAAAGCCCCGGGCUCAACCGGGGAAGUGCAUUGGAUACUGGCAGGCUUGAGUACGGGAGAGGAGAGUGGAAUUCCCAGUGUAGGAGUGAAAUGCGUAGAUAUUGGGAGGAACACCGGUGGCGAAGGCGGCUCACUGGCCCGAAACUGACGCUGAGGCGCGAAAGCGUGGGGAGCAAACGGGAUUAGAUCCCCCUGUAGU
rnacentral:rRNA from 1 species